UGCCCUAGUAACGGCGAGUGAAGCGGCAACAGCUCAAAUUUGAAAUCUGGCUCUCGGGCCCGAGUUGUAAUUUGUAGAGGAUGCUUUUGGUGCGGUGCCUUCCGAGUUCCCUGGAACGGGACGCCAUAGAGGGUGAGAGCCCCGUCUGGUUGGAUGCCAAUCCUCUGUAAAGCUCCUUCGACGAGUCGAGUAGUUUGGGAAUGCUGCUCUAAAUGGGAGGUAUAUGUCUUCUAAAGCUAAAUACCGGCCAGAGACCGAUAGCGCACAAGUAGAGUGAUCGAAAGAUGAAAAGAACUUUGAAAAGAGAGUUAAAAAGUACGUGAAAUUGUUGAAAGGGAAGCGCUUGUGACCAGACUUGGGCUUGGUUGAUCAUCCAGGGUUCUCCCUGGUGCACUCUUCCGGCUCAGGCCAGCAUCAGUUUGCCUCGGGGGAUAAAGGCUUCGGGAAUGUGGCUCUCUCCGGGGAGUGUUAUAGCCCGCUGCGUAAUACCCUGUGGCGGACUGAGGUUCGCGCAUUCGCAAGGAUGCUGGCGUAAUGGUCAUCAGUGACCCGUCUUGAAACACGGACCAAGGAGUCGUCUUCGUAUGCGAGUGUUCGGGUGUCAAACCCCUACGCGAAAUGAAAGUGAACGCAGGUGAGAGCUUCGGCGCAUCAUCGACCGAUCCUGAUGUUCUCGGAUGGAUUUGAGUAAGAGCAUACGGAGCCGGACCCGAAAGAAGGUGAACUAUGCCUGUGUAGGGUGAAGCCAGAGGAAACUCUGGUGGAGGCUCGCAGCGGUUCUGACGUGCAAAUCGAUCGUCAAACAUGGGCA
rnacentral:rRNA from 1 species